UUAUAAUUAAAAUUAAUUAAUAAAAAAUUAAAUGGAAUCAUUAAAUUUAAAUAGUUUGGCGGUAUUUUAAAUAGUUAGAGGAAUUUGUUAAUUAAAUGAUAGUCCACGAAUGGGGUGUCCUAAUAAAAUUUUUAUGUAUUGUUGUAUUAAAAUUAUUUUAUAAGAAUUAUAAUUAAAAAAUUUAAAUUAAUUGUAAUUCAAAUCAAAAUGUAGAAUUAUUAGGUUUAAAUGAAUUACAGUUUAAUUUAAUAUUAGAUUUAUUUUUUUAAUGAAGUAAAAAAAUAGGAUUUAAAAGUAAAUUUAAAAAAAUAUUUAAAUUGAAAGUUUAAUUAAAAUAUG
rnacentral:rRNA from 1 species